AAGUCGUAACAAGGUUUCCGUAGGUGAACCUGCGGAAGGAUCAUUAACACUUAAAAUAAAAAUAAUUUCCCUUUUGAAUCCCUCUCUUUUCUUUCUCCUCUCUUCGGAGGGAGGAAGUCAAGAGAUUUUCAAAUUUAAUUUGAACAAAAAUGUGUAACCUUACUUUUUUACUUAUGGAUUUGAGGGCAAGAAAAGAGGGAGUUUUCUCUCUCUCUUCGUGGUCCUCAGAUUUUCUCAUAAACCAGUUAAACCCAAAAACAAAAUAUGGCGUAUCAGAGGUCUUGUCUUUGACUUGCCCUCUUGAUCCCCCAUAGUUAAACCAAAAACAAAAAACCAAAAACUAAAAAAAACAAAAUAAAACACAACUCUUAACAAUGGAUAUCUUGGUUCUCGC
rnacentral:misc_RNA from 1 species